GAUGAACGCUAGCGGCAGGCUUAACACAUGCAAGUCGAGGGGUAUAGUUCUUCGGAGCUAGAGACCGGCGCACGGGUGCGUAACGCGUAUGCAAUCUACCUUUUGCAGAGGGAUAGCCCAGAGAAAUUUGGAUUAAUACCUCAUGGUAUGUGAGAAUGGCAUCAUUUUCACAUUAAAGUCACCACGGCAAAAGAUGAGCAUGCGUCCCAUUAGCUAGUUGGUAAGGUAACGGCUUACUAAGGCAACGAUGGGUAGGGGUCCUGAGAGGGAGAUCCCCCACACUGGUACUGAGACACGGACCAGACUCCUACGGGAGGCAGCAGUGAGGAAUAUUGGACAAUGGGCGCAAGCCUGAUCCAGCCAUGCCGCGUGCAGGAUGACGGUCCUAUGGAUUGUAAACUGCUUUUGUACAGGAAGAAACACGGGUUCGUGAACCAGCUUGACGGUACUGUAAGAAUAAGGAUCGGCUAACUCCGUGCCAGCAGCCGCCGUAACAC
rnacentral:rRNA from 1 species